rnacentral:lncRNA from 1 species
CCUUGCUGAUCUACAGAGACUAGGCAAGCCUUUGCUUCCACUUUUGUCAAGGUUAUGCUGCCUUCACAUUGUGCUGUUAUCAUGGUUAUCCAUUCGUAUUAUGUUGCAAUAUUAGCAAAUUUAGCUCAUGUUUGAGCCACAUUCUAGGGAAAAAAAUGCAUUAUUCAUGUCAAAUCAAUAAGAAAUGUGUGGUUAAAAAAUAAGAAAAAGUUUUAGAUUUGCGUGUAAUAUUAUUUUAUUGAAGAAUAUGUGGUUGAAAUGAUGUCAAAUCACUGAUGAAGAAUGUAUUUUUUUGAAAAUAUUGUGGCUCAAACAAGCCCUUAAUAUCCUGUCCUUUUUAGAUCAUACCCCUACUAGCACAGCUGAAAAUGAUAAUGUUGUCAUUUUGCAUUGUUCUUUUCUUUAUUCAAAAUUAACUAAUACUGAAUUUUUUUAUAUAUCUUGCUGAGUUUUGUAUGUAUUGCUUUCAUUGUAUAACUUGUUACUUUUUCACUUGCAUGGUUCCUUUGAACCCUUUCUGUCUUUCUCCCUUUUGAAAUUUACUUUUACCAACCCAGUGGUUUGAUACAGCUAUGCUGAAUGUGGCCGACUGAUUUCCACUUCAUCUGGAGAACAUACGGGGAUAAUUCCCGAAUACUCAAAGGUCUGAUAAAAUUUUUCCAGACAAGAGUUAGGACCCCUAUUCUUCUCUCAUGUUAUUCAGGUUUUGUCCACAACUGGUUGAGAUGAAUCUUAAUAGCUUUACUACUUUCGACUUUUUCUUCCAAUCAUAUGGAAUUUCUCCACAAAGAUCUUGAAGAGAUUAGACACGUGUUGAGAUAUGGAAACCACUAACAAUUUAUAAUAUAUCAAGGUAUUCUAAGUGCAGUUUAAAUUCUAC